GCUGGGCGUGGUGGCCCAUGCCUGUAAUCCCAGCUACUUGGGAAGCUGAGGCAGGAGAAUCGCUUGAACCCGGGAGGCUGAGGUUGUGAUGAGCCAAGAUCACACCAUUGCAUUCCAGCCUGGGCAACAGAGCAAGACUCUGUCUCAA
rfam:Homo sapiens chromosome 16, GRCh38 reference primary assembly.